GUGUUCCACUUGGCAGCAUAGAUAUACAAUUGAAACUACACAGAGAAGAUACCAUGGCCAGUGCACAAGAAUGACAGUAAAAUUCAUUGUGUUCCAUAUUUUU
rnacentral:snRNA from 1 species